CAGCGAUGAAGCUGCUGCUGAGUAUGCUCCAGAACUCACCUGUCUGAUGAGGUCAUCUCUCAGACAAAACACGUACAACUCCAAAACACGUAAAAACUCUGAAGCACAUACAAACUCCAAAACACGUACCAAACACAACAGAAGUGCUCCAGGAUGCUAAGCGCAGUGUUGAGCUUUUGUUACCUAGUGGCUACACAAGCCAGGAAGUACCAACGACUGGAUUUGGUGUGUGGUAGUAACAGGAGAGACUGUUUGUUCCAGGGGAUAAGCAGAGUUAGAAGAUUACUGGGAAGGAUCUGGCCUCGGGAAGAAGAAGAUGUUCUUUUAAUGUGUUAAAAGUUGUCAACAUUGAUUGUAUUGUACCUACUUUACGCAUGAGGGGGCGUUCCAAUACCCUGAUGUUCAUAAAAACUAUUGUUGUGUGGUUUUCGGUGAGAGAUCUGGUGCUGUCUGCGUACAGUGUCCCAUCUCCCACACGUGUGCAUUAAAAUCAUCGCUUGACUUGACCCGGCCGGACCAGUGUUGUUAUUUUGGUUUUCCUCCUGUAUCCAUCCCCAAUAUUUUGAACCCGUGACAGUAGCUCUGUUUUGGAAGUUCAGUUAAUGCUAGAAAUGUGUUUUGGAGUUUGUACGUGCUUUCUCACUAGGGGCCACCAUAUAUAUUUAUAUAUAAACAUGUAUAAAUAAAACCACGUUGUUGCUUUUUUUUUACAUUAGUAAUUCCUUUUGUGCAUAAUUUUAUAUUGUUGUUAAUAAUAAAUUAAUUAAAGCAACAAAACAACCUGAAGAGCCGGUUGGGAGCCGAAGAGCCGGGUCAUUUUAGUGAACCGAGCCGAAAGGGCCGGUUCUCUAAGAAGAGCCGGAAAUCCCAUCACUCUGUCAGUGCGCCCCAGGGCAGCUGUGGCUACAGUGUAGCUUGCCAUCACCAGUGUGCGAAUGGGUGAAUGACUGAAUUUCAAUUUCAAUUUCAAUUUCAAUUUAUUUAUAUAGCACUUUUCACAGGAUAAAAA
ensembl:lncRNA